GACGAACGCUGGCGGCGUGCUUAACACAUGCAAGUCGAACGGGGUCCAUCCUUCGGGAGAAGACCUAGUGGCGAACGGGUGAGUAACACGUGAGCAACCUGUCCUAAAGACUGGGAUAAGCCAGGGAAACUUGGUCUAAUACCGGAUGCCCUUAUCAGUUCUUAUGUUUUGAUAAGGAAAUGAUUUAUCGCUUUAGGAGGGGCUCGCGGCCUAUCAGCUUGUUGGUGGGGUAAUGGCCUACCAAGGCAUCGACGGGUAGCUGGUCUGAGAGGAUGAUCAGCCACACUGGGGCUGAGACACGGCCCAGACUCCUACGGGAGGCGGCAGUGGGGAGUCUUGCGCAAUGGGCGAAAGCCUGACGCAGCAACGCCGCGUGAGGGAUGAAGGCUCUCGGGUUGUAAACCUCUUUCAGCAGGAACGAAAUUGGCGGUACCUGCAGAAGAAGCUCCGGCCAACUACGUGCCAGCAGCCGCGGUAACAC
rnacentral:rRNA from 1 species